rnacentral:rRNA from 1 species
CCUACGGGUGGCUGCAGUGGGGAAUAUUGGACAAUGGGGGGAACCCUGAUCCAGCCAUGCCGCGUGUGUGAAGAAGGCCCUCGGGUUGUAAAGCACUUUCAGUGAGGAAGAACGCCUGGUGGUUAAUACCCAUCAGGAAAGACAUCACUCACAGAAGAAGCACCGGCUAACUCCGUGCCAGCAGCCGCGGUAAUACGGAGGGUGCGAGCGUUAAUCGGAAUUACUGGGCGUAAAGCGCGCGUAGGUGGCUUGAUAAGCCGGUUGUGAAAGCCCCGGGCUCAACCUGGGAACGGCAUCCGGAACUGUCAAGCUAGAGUGCAGGAGAGGAAGGUAGAAUUCCCUGUGUAGCGGUGAAAUGCGUAGAGAUCGGGAGGAAUACCAGUGGCGAAGGCGGCCUUCUGGACUGACACUGACACUGAGGUGCGAAAGCGUGGGUAGCAAACAGGAUUAGAUACCCGUGUAGUC